rfam:Aspergillus terreus NIH2624 scaffold_11 genomic scaffold, whole genome shotgun sequence.
GGUUGCUUAGUGUAGUGGUUACCACAUUGGAUUUUGAUCGAUUCGGCAAUGUUCCAAUAACCUGGGUUCGAUCCCCAGAGCAACCU